UUCGCGAGUCGGACAUGGCACUGCUGGGCAAGGUGGAUUUCGCCGAACACACAUGACCAGGUGACCAUGGCAAAGACGGCGACCACGUGCUGGUCUUUCUGUUUCGGCCUUUUCUGGGAGGGUGGUCACAAACUGUGGGCACAUUUUGUGCUUCUGGUGCUGCCCCAGGAUCAAUCGUGGCGAAGCUCCUUUUGCAGUGCAUUGUUCACCUUACAAACGCUGGUGUUGUUGUUGACGCAGUGACCUGCGACAACUCCACAUCAAACCAAUCAGCCUUGAGAUCUCUGGGUGUCAACGGGGACAUGCACAAGCUUCAAACGUGUUUUGAACACCCGUGUGAGCCCUCAAAGCAAGUCCACGUUGUAAUUGAUCCACCGCACAUAUUUAAGUGCAUCAGAAACAACUUGCUCAAAGUGGGCAAGUUUUUGCUCCCUCAAGGACAGGAGGUGUUCCACUGUCACUACAAGGACUUACUGGACUAUGAAGAAGAACAGGCUGGACUCCGGGCUGUACCGAA